rnacentral:misc_RNA from 1 species
GAUGAAGAACGUAGCGAAAUGCGAUACGUAGUGUGAAUUGCAGAAUUCAGUGAAUCAUCGAAUCUUUGAACGCACAUUGCACCUCUCGGUAUUCCGGGAGGUAUGCCUGUUCGAGCGUCAUUUGUACCCUCAAGCUCUGCUUGGUGUUGGGUGUUUGUUCCGCCUCUGUGUGUGAACUCGCCUCAAAACAAUUGGCAGCCGGCGUACUUGUUUCGGAGCGCAGCACAUUUUGCGAUCCAGAUCAACGUACAGCGGCAUCCAAGAAGCCUUAUUUAACGCUCUUGACCUCGGAUCAGGUAGGGAUACCCGCUGAACUUAAGCAUAUCAAUAAGCGGAAGA